GUAGACUAACAGGUGUAGACUAACAGGUGUAGACUAACAGUGAAAUGCUUGGUAAACAACAGGUGUAGACUAACAGGUGUAGACUAACAGGUGUAGACUAACAGGUGUAGACUAACAGGUGUAGACUAACAGGUGUAGACUAACAGUGAAAUGCUUGGUAAACAACAGGUGUAGACUAACAGGUGUAGACUAACAGUGAAAUGCUUGGUAAACAACAGGUGUAGACUAACAGUGAAAUGCUGACUGACAGGCCUUACUUCCUAACAAUGCAGAGAGAACAAAAAAAAAAAAAAAAUUAAAAACACAAGGAAUAAAUACAAAAUGAUUAACGAUAACUUGGUUAUAUACUGUACAGUACACAGGAUACCAGUACUGAGUCGAUGUGCUGGGGUACGAGGUUGAGGUAGAAAUGUACAUAUGGGGAGGGG
ensembl:lncRNA